GGGAGCAUCCCCUGUGUGGGAUUGGGGUUCCACUGGGAUGGGGGGGCUGGGGCCUCCCUUUUGGGGCUGCGGUGUGGUAGGGUCGGGUGUGAAUGCGGGGCUGCGGCUGCUUGGGAUGGGGGCUGGGACACCCCAGGGUUUGGGACCCAUAGGGUUCAGGGUGUGGGGUCGGACCCCCGGGGUACAGCUCUGUGGUCCCCUGGGAUGGGGCCGUGGGGUGCAGGGCUGCCCCCCCAGCAGUGGGUCUGCCCCCCCCCCCCCCCAGCCCCCCCCCCCCCCCCC
rnacentral:lncRNA from 1 species